UACGGAAGGCAGCAGUGGGGAAUAUUGCACAAUGGGCGAAAGCCUGAUGCAGCUAUGCCGCGUGUAUGAAGAAGGCCUUAGGGUUGUAAAGUACUUUCAUCGGGGAGGAAAAAACAAAACUAAUAAUUUUAUUUCUUGACGUUACCCGAAAAAGAAGCACCGGCUAACUCCGUGCCAGCAGCCGCGGUAAUACGGAGGGUGCUAGCGUUAAUCAGAAUUACUGGGCGUAAAGAGCACGUAGGUGGUUUUUUUAAGUCAGAUGUGAAAUCCCUGGGCUUAACCUAGGAACUGCAUUUUGAAACUGAAAUACUAGAGUAUCGUAGAGGGAGGUAGAAUUCUAGGUGUAGCGGUGAAAUGCGUAGAUAUCUGGAGGAAUACCUGUGGCGAAAGCGGCCUCCUAAACGAAUACUGACACUGAGGUGCGAAAGCGUGGGGAGCAAACAGGGAUUGGGAUAC
rnacentral:rRNA from 1 species